rnacentral:rRNA from 1 species
GACGAACGCUGGCGGCGUGCUUAACACAUGCAAGUCGAACGGAAAGGCCCUGCUUUUGUGGGGUGCUCGAGUGGCGAACGGGUGAGUAACACGCGAGUAACCUGCCCUUGACUUUGGGAUAACUUCAGGAAACUGGGGCUAAUACCGGAUAGGAUCUCCUGCUGCAUGGUGGGGGUUGGAAAGUUACGGCGGUUGGGGAUGGAUUCGCGGCUUAUCAGCUUGUUGGUGGGGUAGUGGCUUACCAAGGCUUUGACGGGUAGCCGGCCUGAGAGGGUGAACGGCCACAUGGGGACUGAGAUACGGCCCAGACUCGUACGGGAGGCAGCAGUGGGAAAUAUUGCGCAGUGGGCGGAAGCCUGAUGCAGCAACGCCGCGUGCGGGAUGACGGCCUUCGGGUUGUAAACCGCUUUCGCCUGUGACGAAGCGUGAGUGACGGUAAUGAGUAAAGAAGCACCGGCUAACUACGUG